rnacentral:tRNA from 1 species
GCCGAAAUAGCUCAGUUGGGAGAGCGUUAGACUGAAGAUCUAAAGAUAACGGGUUUCGGCA